CACAGCGAGAUUAAAAAACGGUUUUGCUUCGUCUUCAUUUCUGUUCAGUUUGUGACAAGAGGUUCACCCACCCCCGAGCUUUUUUCUACAACGUUAAGGUGUAGACAUUCACUUACCUUCUGUUGGCUCAAAGGGACAGCUGAGUUUUACACAUUUAAGAACUAUGAAAAAAGAACGGCAGAAACUACUAUUACAAAGAAGCUAAUGCUGCGGAAGGUAACAAGGAGGCACUAUGCAGCUAAAAGAAAAUUCAUAACUUUGUUGGUAAGUACAAGGUUUGAGAAAAGUACAGACAAAUCUCUAAACUUUUUUUAACACUAGCUUGUUACUUUUCAGGUGAAACAUGGUGCAUUGAAUGGAAACUGUCACCAUUUCUUCAUAUCUGUAUACACAUGUGGAAUUAAGACUGGAGACACAAUCAGCAACAGAUCAGAAUACUGUCUUUUGUGAAAAUCAGGAUGUUGAUCAGACAAGGAAGACAUAAGGAAGGUUUCCUAGCGUCCUUAACCCGAACAAUCUGGCACUGAGUGCUCUUCUCCAGGUCUUGCUCUCGCUGCGGUGUUUGUGCUCGUUUAUUAAACGGAGGUG